GAGUUUGAUCCUGGCUCAGAUUGAACGCUGGCGGCAUGCCUUACACAUGCAAGUCGAACGGCAGCACGGGUGCUUGCACCUGGUGGCGAGUGGCGAACGGGUGAGUAAUACAUCGGAACAUGUCCUGUAGUGGGGGAUAGCCCGGCGAAAGCCGGAUUAAUACCGCAUACGAUCUGAGGAUGAAAGCGGGGGACCUUCGGGCCUCGCGCUAUAGGGUUGGCCGAUGGCUGAUUAGCUAGUUGGUGGGGUAAAGGCCUACCAAGGCGACGAUCAGUAGCUGGUCUGAGAGGACGACCAGCCACACUGGGACUGAGACACGGCCCAGACUCCUACGGGAGGCAGCAGUGGGGAAUUUUGGACAAUGGGCGAAAGCCUGAUCCAGCAAUGCCGCGUGUGUGAAGAAGGCCUUCGGGUUGUAAAGCACUUUUGUCCGGAAAGAAAUCCUUGGUUCUAAUAUAGCCGGGGGAUGACGGUACCGGAAGAAUAAGCACCGGCUAACUACGUGCCAGCAGCCGCGGUAAUACGUAGGGUGCAAGCGUUAAUCGGAAUUACUGGGCGUAAAGCGUGCGCAGGCGGUUUGCUAAGACCGAUGUGAAAUCCCCGGGCUCAACCUGGGAACUGCAUUGGUGACUGGCANGCUAGAGUAUGGCAGANGGGGGUAGAAUUCCACGUGUAGCAGUGAAAUGCGUAGAGAUGUGGAGGAAUACCGAUGGCGA
rnacentral:rRNA from 1 species